rnacentral:lncRNA from 1 species
GAGCCGGGGCCGGGCCGCCCGCGGUCCCCUCCCGAAGGCCGUGAACUCUCCGGAGAACGGGCGCCCGGUCCGCAGUUCAACAAGUCGCGCUGGGAGCGAACGACCGGUGGGCACGGAUGAGCUCUAGGGCCCCGUCAAUUAGGUUGAUUCUUACAGAUUCCAUUUUUAUCUGGUUAUUUGUGGGGAUGUUUCUUUGGAGGAAAUGCAUUUCGAAGAAAUUGUCCCAAUUGUCUCACCAAAGAUAUGACAUGAAUAAAUUCUGUGAAAUGAAGACAAAUGCUAACAUUAAGCCAAGGAGAAACAGAAGCAUCAAAAUACCUGAUGAGCUGGUGAAAUAAGUGGUUUUUUUGUCAAAUUGCUUUUUCAAAAUUGACCUUGGGCAAUAUGUUUCAUAAAAACUCUUGGUUAUCUUUUUACACCUUUUUCUUCUAGAGCUGGCCAUUGGGGUUUGACAUAAAUUAAUCCAUUUUAAUGCAAAAGACUGCAUUAAACAACAACAGCAACAACAACAACAACAAAAAUGCGGAAGACAAAUGGUUCUAAAUUUCAGGCUCUGUGCCUAGAAACCCAAAGUGUCGCCAGCUGGUUUAACAGAGGAAGUAUUACUUGUCAUGAUAUUAGACCAUUGGCAUAUCAAGCAGUGACUACAUGGAACCUGAAAUGUAAAAGCGCCCCUUCACUAAAACAUACACUUUUGAAUCACCUUUAGGCACAGAAAAAAUGCUCAGAUUGUGCGCUUCCAACAGAGACAUUAGUCAAGUCAGCACUGGAAAGAAGGCCCAUUCACUUUUUGGAUAGUUAACUAUCAAAUCCAUUAAUUAAACAUUUAUUGAGCACUAAGACAAUGAGCUUCCUUUAGAGAGAGGGGAAUGAGUGACUGGCUUCUUUUGAUUAGGUCCCUUAAAUUAAUGUAUAAUUGUGGCUGUUAAUCAAUCCAACUUAAACGUAAACAGAGACAGUAGAAAAUAAGCUGUGAAACGAGGGUGUGGUCUCCUCUGGACUCUAUAUCCGAAUCUCCUUGGGAAGAAACCUCUCCCAGCAGAAAGGUAAGACUAAAUAAUAUUCCAUGCAUUUAUGAAUAGUAAGUCCCAAUUUCCCUAAGAAGUUCUGUUAAAAAAUAUUUCUUUCUGACAACGUGGGAACACUGGACAAUAAUCAGAUCAGCUUUUCAUUUAGCAGCUCAUCAAGUGGCUAUUUAUGGAUUGGGACUUUUGAUUUGCAAUACAUCAUCUCAGGAUUCAGUGUUAUCUUUUGAUUUCUUUCCAGCUGAACAGGCUAAGUAGUUGUAAAUACCUCUUGUCAGACUACAUGGUUGGCUAUUCUCGCACACAGAAGUAA